AGCUGUGUUUCCCGGUCCUGGAUGGUGUUUGCUCUGUCGGGGUAACACCUCUUUCCUUUCUACCCUCCAUCCUCUGCAAGGAGUGCAGUUCUCAGUGUUUACGCCUCAGAACUUGAGACGGCGACCUUGACUGAUACAGAAGCCUCAGAAAAGAUUGCUCAGUGUUCCAAGGGAGCAGGUGCGGGAAAUUGGCUUCGAUGAGAAAUGGAUCUGACCGGGAAAGAGGACAGGAAAACGGCUGGGCUGACAGUGGCCCAGCCAGUUUUGCAGGCCAGAUUUCCUCAGCCCUGUCCCUGUCCUGCAUUCUGGGGCCAGUGCUACACUUGUUUUUUGUUUUAUUUUACUUGAUCACACUGGUUGGAAUUGGAUGCGUCCAGCAGAUGCCAGCCUUGGAAGUCGGGCCACAGCGUGUGGCAGUUGCUGGGGCUGGGGAGGUGCUUCAGCGAGAGACAUCUUCCAUCGCCAACGUCUGCAGCUCCACCAAGCAUUUGAUGUAGGACAAAGGCGGAUGAAUUCAAAAUUAAUUUGGCUUCCCAGCAUUUUGUCCUAUUUUUAUGUAGCUGCUAACCGUUCGUUCAAAAAUAAAAAUAAAAGGAUCAUGGAAGAUGCAUGCAGCUGCCUUUUAUACUUAAGGAUGAAAAACUGGUUAUGAAGAAGGUUAAUGUUGUUAUUCCAGAGAGAUAACCCUGGUUGCUAUGGUGAGGAAUCUUCUGUCAAUCAUCCCAAUGAAGUUGGCUCCUUUUACAAGAAUGGCCUAUAUUAGAGCCACAGUUGGAAUCUAUUUGCCACUGAGCUUUGACUCAAAUAUUUAAUUUAGUGGACAGGUCUGUGUUUCGUCAAUUGGAAAACUGUAGACUUUAAAUGUGGUGCCCAAGAAGUACAGCUGGGCUCUCUGAACACACUCAGAAGGGGUCAAUUUAAUAACUCAGCCUGGGUAACGCUUAAUGUCGGAAUAAGUCCAGAAGGCUUUUUGGGGAACGAGAACUAGCCAUAUCCAGGGAAGGAAUAGCCACGAGGAAUUCAACAAAAUAGGUGUGACUCAUGGUGGAACAGGAUGGAUUAGUUGAUUGAUUGAUUUUUUAAAAUGCGAUUGUUUUUGAUGUGUGGCGUUCACAGCUUUAAUGACCUGCCUUUCUGGCUGAAAUUUAUUAAGGCAAUAAUCCACAAGAAAUUGGCUGUUUUCAGCA